rnacentral:rRNA from 1 species
UGGGGAAUUUUGGACAAUGGGGGCAACCCUGAUCCAGCAAUGCCGCGUGUGUGAAGAAGGCCUUCGGGUUGUAAAGCACUUUUGUCCGGAAAGAAAACUUCGGGGCUAAUACCCCUGGAGGAUGACGGUACCGGAAGAAUAAGCACCGGCUAACUACGUGCCAGCAGCCGCGGUAAUACGUAGGGUGCGAGCGUUAAUCGGAAUUACUGGGCGUAAAGCGUGCGCAGGCGGUGCUGUAAGACCGAUGUGAAAUCCCCGGGCUUAACCUGGGAACUGCAUUGGUGACUGCAGCGCUGGAGUAUGGCAGAGGGGGGUGGAAUUCCACGUGUAGCAGUGAAAUGCGUAGCGAUGUGGAGGAACACCGAUGGCGAAGGCAGCCCCCUGGGCCAAUACUGACGCUCAUGCACGAAAGCGUGGGGAGCAAACAGG